CUGGUUGGGUCUAUGUCCAGAACAAUGUUGGCGAAGGCUCUGAUUUUGGAUAGAAAGCUUAUCAAAGUUAUUAAGUUUGGCUUGUCAGAUGCUUCUAGAUUAUACUCGAGAGAUGAGAAACUGAUUGCAGAUAUUCACCAACAUCAUGGCAGAUUAUUCAUUUCUACUUUCAAUUGGUUUGUUGCAGUCCGUAGAAGCUCUCUUGGUGAUUCUCUUUAUAUUGAAGUUCCAGUUGAUACUACUUGCC